UGCGUAGGCGGGCUAAUAAGUCAGUGGUGAUAUCUCUCGGCUCAACCGGGAAACUGCCAUUGAUACUGUUAGUCUUGAGUUCGGUUGAGGUAGGCGGAAUGUGUAAUGUAGCGGUGAAAUGCUUAGAUAUUACACAGAACACCAAUUGCGUAGGCAGCUUACUAGACCGACACUGACGCUGAGGCACGAAAGCGUGGGGAGCGAACAGGAUUAGAUACCCUGGUAGUCC
rnacentral:rRNA from 1 species